GCCCUUCCCUACAUAGAUUGUGAGCCCCUUGUGAGGCAUGGAGUGGGUCUGAAUGUUUAUCCUCUCUCUACCCUGACAAUUGGCAGAGUGCUUGGCAAAUGAAGGGCACUAUUAGAGAUUCAGCGGAUGUUCUUCUGAUAGCCCAGACUUUGUGGACUCAACGGGCUGCACUUUGGCAGGAAACUACUUGGUCACAGGUGCUUGGCAGUGGAACAGCUACCCUGGCCUGGAAAUGGAUUAAGCCCCCACCAGUGUUUAAAGGAGCCAUUAAACCUCCACUUCACUGCAAGAGGAGAAACUUUCCCAAGAGACAAGCCUAGAAAACAAGACAACUAUAAU